rnacentral:lncRNA from 1 species
UGUGCAGUGCUCUGUUUUUCCUGGGACAGUUCUCGCUUCUAGGCUGUAGGUCAAGGAGAAUGAGAAAAGGAAAAAACAAACAAAGGAAUAAUAGAACAACGGUGAUCCAGCAAAAGAGUAUGCAGGAGAAUGUAAAAACAGUGGAGGUGCAGUGAGAACUCAAAGAAGGUCUCAAGACAGUGGUUUAAAUGCAAGGAAGACACAGCUGGAACAAGCUUGCAAAAAUAAAGCCAGACCUGUGAGGCAAUCCUAACCUAAUGACCUUGGACAUCAGAGAAAUGCAGGUGCAAGCUGCAGAGAUGAGUCAGUGGUCAGCGCUUGCUAUACAAACAAGAGGACUGGAGCUUCAGAUCCCCAGAAAACAUAUGCUGUUCGGUUUUAUUUUCUACUGGGAGUAUGGCCAGGUGAAUAAAGAAAGAAAAACAAAGAUAUUCUCAUUGCUUGUCUGGUGGAUGGUUUCAGCUCUGCAGACCCAACAAAGGAGUUGCUGCUCCUGUGUGGGCUACCAGAUGACAAAAUCUCAACCAUUCUGAUGGUGAAGCUCUUAAAAGCUCCUUGCUCUUCCAGACAACCCUAACAGCUAAAAGAAGCUAUUUCAUGGUGG